ensembl:lncRNA
CUUGGUUGAGACACCAACAUUCAGCAGCUUGUUAAGCUUAUUUACUUCUCUCUCUUUUCGGCUUAGUCUGUUAGGGACUGACCCUGUGAGAGACUGAUAAAACACCUUCGGAGGUCCUGGUAGCCUUUAAGCCAACAAGAGCCUCACAGAGACUGAAGGCAGUGGUUGUGGAAGGAAGCACAGCAUCCCGAACCAUGAAGCCUUUUCAAGUGGCUCUUCAAUGUGAUGGGACUCCAGCAGCUCCUGCUCAGAUGUCAAAGGCAUGAGGACAUCAGAUCUACCACUGUGUCUCCAAGACCUGGCUCUUUGUGAACACGCGAGUUCCCAAAAUAGAAUAGCAGCUCUUCUCCCCACGCCUGAUCUACUCAGCUUGCCACCUCUAUUCGGCAAAUAGAGCCUCUUAACGUGGCGAGACUUACCACCAGCCCCAACACAUUGUUGACUCAGCACACAGCAACCCAGUCUAGAGGUAAGUGUAGGCUUAUUUAGAGCAGAUCCAGCUUUUUACUUCCUACUUUGCUCCCUUCCUUCUUUCCUUCCUUCUUUCUUUUCCUGGGGUGGUUUGGGGAAGGGGGUUGGGGGGGGGGAUAGAGCCAUCCAGGUACGUGAAGUAGUCUGCCAGUCAGCUAAAUGCU